rnacentral:rRNA from 1 species
CCUACGGGAGGCAGCAGUGGGGAAUAUUGCACAAUGGGGGAAACCCUGAUGCAGCGACGCCGCGUGAGUGAAGACGUAAUUCGUUAUGUAAAGCUCUAUCAGCAGGGAAGAAAAUGGCGGUACCUGUGUAAGAAGCCCCGGCUAACUACGUGCCAGCAGCCGCGGGUAUACGUAGGGGGCAAGCGUUAUCCGGAUUUACUGGGUGUAAAGGGAGCGUAGACGGUUGUGCAAGUCUGGAGUGAAAGGCGGGGGCUCAACCCCCGGACUGCUCUGGAAACUGGACGGCUGGAGUGCAGGAGAGGUAAGUGGAAUUCCUGGUGUAGCGGUGAAAUGCGUAGAUAUUAGGAGGAACACCAGUGGCGAAGGCGGCUUACUGAACUGUAACUGACGUUGAGGCUCGAAAGCGUGGGGAGCAAACAGGAUUAGAUACCCGUGUAGUC